rnacentral:rRNA from 1 species
UAAUACAUGCAGGUCGAGCGGACCGACGGGAGCUUGCUCCCUUAGGUCAGCAGCGGACGGGUGAGUAACACGUGGGUAACCUGCCUGUAAGACUGGGAUAACUCCGGGAAACCGGGGCUAAUACCGGAUGCUUGAUUGAACCGCAUGGUUCAAUCAUAAAAGGUGGCUUUUAGCUACCACUUGCAGAUGGACCCGCGGCGCAUUAGCUAGUUGGUGAGGUAACGGCUCACCAAGGCGACGAUGCGUAGCCGACCUGAGAGGGUGAUCGGCCACACUGGGACUGAGACACGGCCCAGACUCCUACGGGAGGCAGCAGUAGGGAAUCUUCCGCAAUGGACGAAAGUCUGACGGAGCAACGCCGCGUGAGUGAUGAAGGUUUUCGGAUCGUAAAACUCUGUUGUUAGGGAAGAACAAGUACCGUUCGAAUAGGGCGGUACCUUGACGGUACCUAACCAGAAAGCCACGGCUAACUACGUGCCAGCAGCCGCGGUAAUACGUAGGUGGCAAGCGUUGUCCGGAAUUAUUGGGCGUAAAGCGCGCGCAGGCGGUUUCUUAAGUCUGAUGUGAAAGCCCCCGGCUCAACCGGGGAGGGUCAUUGGAAACUGGGGAACUUGAGUGCAGAAGAGGAGAGUGGAAUUCCACGUGUAGCGGUGAAAUGCGUAGAGAUGUGGAGGAACACCAGUGGCGAAGGCGACUCUCUGGUCUGUAACUGACGCUGAGGCGC